GCAAAGCAGUUAGAAUAAAACAUCAUUGUAGGUGGAUUACUACUUGUAAGGACUUUGUUUCAAUGCAUUCGUUGGGUAGCAAUAAGUAAGAGAGGCUUGCCCAAAUAUAUGGGCUAAUGAUGAGCCUCAGGAUGGGGCAAAGUGGUAAUAUCUUCACCAGCAGUGGCAAAACAAGUCUUACAAAAACAAGAAUUGGCCUUCUCCAGCAGAACAAUUCCAGAUGCAAUCCGUACCAAUAAUCACCAUAACCUCUCUGUGGUGUUUUUACCUAUUUGCUCUCGAUGGAGAAGUAUGAGGAAAUUCUUGAAUUCUAAUCUCUUCUCUGGUGACAAGCUUGACGCAACUCAGCAUCUCAGGUCCCAAAAGAUGCAAGAUUUUAUUGGUUAUUGCCGCAAACUGGUGAGUCAGUGAAUAUAGGCCAAGCUGCUUUCGAGACCAUGGUUAAUUUACUUUCCAAUACCAUUUUUUCCAAGGAUGUAGUCG
rnacentral:misc_RNA from 1 species